rnacentral:rRNA from 1 species
CCUACGGGUCGCAGCAGUCGAGAAUCAUUCACAAUGGGGGAAACCCUGAUGGUGCGACGCCGCGUGGGGGAAUGAAGGUCUUCGGAUUGUAAACCCCUGUCAUGUGGGAGCAAAUUAAAAAGAUAGUACCACAAGAGGAAGAGACGGCUAACUCUGUGCCAGCAGCCGCGGUAAUACAGAGGUCUCAAGCGUUGUUCGGAAUCACUGGGCGGAAAGCGUGCGUAGGCUGUUUCGUAAGUCGUGUGUGAAAGGCGCGGGCUCAACCCGCGGACGGCACAUGAUACUGCGAGACUAGAGUAAUGGAGGGGGAACCGGAAUUCUCGGUGUAGCAGUGAAAUGCGUAGAUAUCGAGAGGAACACUCGUGGCGAAGGCGGGUUCCUGGACAUUAACUGACGCUGAGGCACGAAGGCCAGGGGAGCGAAAGGGAUUAGAUACCCCAGUAGUC